AGUGAACGCUGGCGGUAGGCCUAACACAUGCAAGUCGAACGGCAGCACAGUAAGAGCUUGCUCUUACGGGUUGCGAGUGGCGGACGGGUGAGGAGUACAUCGGAAUCUACUUUUUCGUGGGGGAUAACGUAGGGAAACUUACGCUAAUACCGCAUACGACCUACGGGUGAAAGCAGGGGAUCUUCGGACCUUGCGCGAUUGAAUGAGCCGAUGUCGGAUUAGCUAGUUGGCGGGGUAAAGGCCCACCAAGGCGACGAUCCGUAGCUGGACUGAGAGGAUGAUCAGCCACACUGGAAGUGAGACAGGGUCCAGAGUCCUACGGGAGGCAGCAGUGGGGAAUAUCGGACAAUGGGCGGAAGCAUGAUCCAGCCAUACCGAGUGGGUGAAGAAGGCGUUCGGGUUGUAAAGCCCUUUUGUUGGGAAAGAAAAGCAGCAGGUUAAUACCCCGCUGUUCUGACGGUACCCAAAGAAUAAGCACCGGCUAACUUCGUG
rnacentral:rRNA from 1 species